GGGGCCGUGGCUUAGUGGUAGAGAAUCUGCUUUACAUGCAGAAGGUCCCAGGUUCAAUCCCUGACGUCUCCA